UAGCAAUAAACAUGUCAUCUACAUACAACAAUAAAUAGACAAAAAAAAACCAUCUAAUAGCCUCUUAUGACACACACAAUUAUCAUGAGCACUACGAGUAAAACCAUUAUAUCAUAAAUGUACCAAACCUCUUAUACAACUGUCUAGGUGUGUAGAGGCCCGGAACUUAAAAGGUAAUAAGGUCAUAAAUUAAAUAUGGAAGUGAAAUAAUAGAGUUAAGGGUUUACAUUCCUUACACAAUAAUUUAGAAUGCUCAAUAGAGCUACGAAAAUGUCCAUUCUAAAAGAACAAACGAAAAUUAAAGAAAUAAAUAAAAGGUAACUAACUGAGCAUUCUAGGACGACCUUCACUAGCUUCUGAAGGGAGUCCGGGUGGUGAACUUAUUCACAACCCUCUUGUUGAUCGGAAUUUGGGUCAUGAUC
rnacentral:lncRNA from 1 species